rnacentral:rRNA from 1 species
UACGGAAAGCAGCAGUGGGGAAUAUUGCACAAUGGGCGCAAGCCUGAUGCAGCCAUGCCGCGUGUAUGAAGAAGGCCUUCGGGUUGUAAAGUACUUUCAGUCGUGAGGAAGGUGUUAAGGUUAAUAACCUUAGCAAUUGACGUUAGCGACAGAAGAAGCACCGGCUAACUCCGUGCCAGCAGCCGCGGUAAUACGGAGGGUGCGAGCGUUAAUCGGAAUUACUGGGCGUAAAGGGCACGCAGGCGGUUAAUUAAGUUGGAUGUGAAAUCCCCGGGCUUAACCUGGGAAUGGCAUUCAAGACUGGUUAGCUAGAGUCUUGUAGAGGGGGUAGAAUUCCAUGUGUAGCGGUGAAAUGCGUAGAGAUGUGGAGGAAUACCGGUGGCGAAGGCGGCCCCUGGGACAAAGACUGACGCUCAUGUGCGAAAGCGUGGGGAGCAAACAGGGAUUAGAUACC